rnacentral:rRNA from 1 species
GAUGAACGCUGGCGGUGUGCCUAAUACAUGCAAGUCGAGCGAACAGACGAGGAGCUUACUCCUCUGACGUUAGCGGCGGACGGGUGAGUAACACGUGGAUAACCUACCUAUAAGACUGGGAUAACUUCGGGAAACCGGAGCUAAUACCGGAUAACAUGUUGAACCGCAUGGUUCAACAGUGAAAGACGGUCUUGCUGUCACCUAUAGAUGGAUCCGCGUCGCAUUAGCUAGUUGGUAAGGUAACGGCUUACCAAGGCAACGAUGCGUAGCCGACCUGAGAGGGUGAUCGGCCACACUGGAACUGAGACACGGUCCAGACUCCUACGGGAGGCAGCAGUAGGGAAUCUUCCGCAAUGGGCGAAAGCCUGACGGAGCAACGCCGCGUGAGUGAAGAAGGUCUUCGGAUCGUAAAACUCUGUUAUUAGGGAAGAACAAAUGUGUAAGUAACUAUGCACGUCUUGACGGUACCUAAUCAGAAAGCCACGGCUAACUACGUG